UUCAGACGGCUCCAUUUCUCUAGAGACGUUGCAGAGGCAGCAUGUUAUGAAAGGAAGAUUAUUGGACCAAAGCAGAGCAACACAUGGUUCCAGGUUGAGGUCAGGAUGGGGAACACCUCACCCAGGGUUCUGGUCUCACUCUUGCUGAACACACUGCUCUGCUGUGGACAAACUCUUGACAGACCCAUGGCCACAUUGACAGCAGGUUCAACAACCAUACCAGUAGGGGGCAGUGUGAUACUGAGCUGCUCAGUGGAGCCCUCUGCUGGAUGGAAGUACAGAUGGUUCAGACGGACCUCAGUCACUUCUUUUGUUGAAUUCAACACAAAUAAUGAAGAAACAGAGAAAUCCUGUGACA